rnacentral:rRNA from 1 species
GAGCGGUAGAGAGAAGCUUGCUUCUCUUGAGAGCGGCGGACGGGUGAGUAAUGCCUAGGAAUCUGCCUGGUAGUGGGGGAUAACGUUCGGAAACGGACGCUAAUACCGCAUACGUCCUACGGGAGAAAGCAGGGGACCUUCGGGCCUUGCGCUAUCAGAUGAGCCUAGGUCGGAUUAGCUAGUUGGUGGGGUAAUGGCUCACCAAGGCGACGAUCCGUAACUGGUCUGAGAGGAUGAUCAGUCACACUGGAACUGAGACACGGUCCAGACUCCUACGGGAGGCAGCAGUGGGGAAUAUUGGACAAUGGGUGAAAGCCUGAUCCAGCCAUGCCGCGUGUGUGAAGAAGGUCUUCGGAUUGUAAAGCACUUUAAGUUGGGAGGAAGGGUUGUAGAUUAAUACUCUGCAAUUUUGACGUUACCGACAGAAUAAGCACCGGCUAACUCUGUG